rnacentral:rRNA from 1 species
AGGCCCUACGGGGCGCAGCAGUGGGGAAUAUUGCACAAUGGGGGAAACCCUGAUGCAGCGACGCCGCGUGAGUGAAGAAGUAUUUCGGUAUGUAAAGCUCUAUCAGCAGGGAAGAAAAUGACGGUACCUGACUAAGAAGCCCCGGCUAACUACGUGCCAGCAGCCGCGGUAAUACGUAGGGGGCAAGCGGUAUCCGGAUUUACUGGGUGUAAAGGGAGCGUAGGGGGCAUGGGAAGCCAGAAGUGAAAACCCAGGGCUCAACUCUGUGGAUUGCUGUUGGAACUAUCAAGCUAGAGUGCUGGAGG